AUCACAUUGGAUUACCGUUUUUAAAGAAAAGUAAAAUGUCCUGACGCCAUUUACCUUCUCUUGCAAAUUACGCUCUAACUUGUACAAUGUCUUAAGCUGUUUACUUGCAGAGCACCAACACAUGAGAUCUGUGUUUAAUGUUUAUACGUAGCAGUAUGCGUGAGUGUGUUUAUGGGUGUCUAUGUGUGUGUCCACGGAUAGGGAUGAGAGAGAAAGAAAGAGAGAGAGGAAAAAUGUCACAUGGAUCAAAUGGGAAAGAGCUUAAGCGUAUUCUCAGGUAAGAAAGAAAAUUUUCAAAGUAUGUGCAGCAAAUUCAAUAGAGAUUUCUACAAGUAUGGAAUGGCCAGGGAUGGAGCAAGUAUGCCAGGAAAAGGAUGUAUUUGGAAAUGCAUUAGGGCUCUGUCUAUAUUGUGACAUAGAUCCUUGCAAAGGAAUGAUCCCGGCUCUGGGACAAAUAUCGCGUGGUAUCUCACAUCCAUAUUUACUACUGCUUGCACUGCUUGGAGUAGAUCAGAUGGCACCUAGAGCGAACUCAGAAUAUCCUACAAUCCUUGAUUUUUCCCUCCACGCCUCUGCAGUGCGACAGAUACCCCACACCCUCCAUUUGCUUGCUCUAGGCAUGACAUAGCUCCAUAUCAAUAGACUCUUCAAAGAGGCUAAAGGGCAGGCACACCAGCAACCUCUGUUGGGUUCUUUCUGUGAGGUGUCACCUGCUGCUCUGCCUGCUGUUACUGCUCUUGCGGUCUCUGAUUUUCUGUUUGCACUCAUGAUUUUUUCUGGAUUGGCCUCAUUCUCUGAAUGAGGCCACACAAGCCACCUUCUUCUGAAGGUACCAGCCCUGCAGGAGAAACUGUCAUUUCAGACCUCCAGGACAUGAAUGGCAACAACUGCCAGCACUGAUCACUGAUGGGAUGAGACUGUACUAUGUACUCAGCAUAAGCAUAAGCAGCAGUAAAUUCAGCACUUCAGAAUCUGAAGGGCCAAAUCAGAAGGUCUCUGUAAGGGUGUGAUAUCAAGCAUCUCCAUUUCAGGCACCAAUACAAGUGGAGAAGACGCUCAUGGUUGCCCUCUGCAGUCUCAUCAUUUCUGCCUCUUACUUACUGGAGGAGAGAGGGAUACUAAGCCUUUGUGUGCAGAAAGGCCCGGAGCAGCAGGGGUAUGAACAACCCUAGAAGAAGAGGUUGGUACCACUCCUGUUUUACUUUUUUCUGCUGCAGGAACAGCCUUCUCUGGAGAACAGAGAAGACAAAUUGCUGCACUUUCAUGCCAUUUUCUCCCUGGAGCUAGACCAGAACUUCAAUUUGCCUAUGCAGACGCUUUCCAGAAUUUCACCGAGAACUCAUUGCCACAUUAUGGAGAUGCCUGGGAUCAAAUAUUUCCCUCUGGAUAACUUUAAAAGGAAAAAAAAAAAAAAAAAGCAAGGGUAUCAGUCACUGGGGAUUUCUACAGAUACAAACACACUGUGCACUUGCCUAAACUGUACCUUUCUGCAGACACCUGCAUCCCAAAACUGAAUUUUGCAAAUGAAUUUGGGUGUUGGGCUAGACUCAAAACUUAUGCAGAACUGGAGGAUGGCUUGGAGAAGAGAUCAGGAUGGGAUGUCCCAGGUACUGGCAAGUGUCUCGAGGCCUGGUGAGGAAGGGAGUAUUUCUGUGGUUUUAAGUGCUGAUAGGAGCAUCCCUGUAACAGCCUGCACGGUGAAGGCCACGGGAGGAGAGGCAAUUGGCUGUGUGUGCCAUGAAAGUCAGUUUCCCUGCUGCGUCUUUGUAGCCUAUAUUGAGUGAAGAGCAGGCUGAGACCUCAAGAAGCCUCGCAGGCUCCUUGUAAAGUAGAGGAUGCCUUUGAGAAGAAUGAAGGGACAUUGCUGUUUUUCACUCUGCAGCUGCAGAGACCUGUACAACUGCCCAUAUAGAUCCAGCAUUUUUAUUGUAUAAUCCAGUGCGCUACCAAGCUAUGCUGAUCACUGUAGGCGGCCCCUUAUUGAAGUGCAACUGCCUGGAGUUUUUCCUGUAGGAAAAAUGUGUUUACCCCACCCAUGUCAGGUGGUCAUGCACCUGGUCUGCCAUGGCUGUAGUGUUCUGAGAAGAAGUUUCAGGGACCCUUGAUGGUAGCUAGUGGAAGACAUCCAUGCCCACACCCCGAUCCUGCUCCUGUGUCCAGAGGUUCCCCUUUAUAGUGAUAUGAGCAAUAUCCAUCUCACCUUGGGUUACGAGGGAAUACUCUAAUCCCUGAUCCUCGUUCCACUUUACUGAAGCAUGAAGUGUGCAGUGUCUUCUUUGAGCUCCACACGGUCUCUCCAUGGACAGACACAGAGCAAUGUCCUGUGCUGAGGUGAAAGAUGAAGGCGGUACCUCGCUUAACCUUGUGCUGGGACUGACUUGAGCAGACGAGCUGGAAAAAUAAACGAAAGGGAUGCUGAGGAGGUUGGGGGUGUUGCAGGUUACCUCAGUCAGUACAGUGACAAGUAAGCCUACGAAAUACCACUACAGCCACAUACGGUUGCUGCCUCUAAGUCUAUGUGGGAUGGUAGGGGUCUGAGGUAUGGGCAGCACCACUUUGAAAGUGAUCCCCAAGUCUUUUGAUUUGUGCAAGUGAGAUACUGAGGUGCGUUAAGCAUGUUUGCGGAUGACUGUUGGAGUUGGUCUUGAUUGAGAAACACACUUGUGUGCAUGCUGUGACAGCUGGUUGGCAGUCAUUUAAGCUGUGUCACACAGAAAUGUGAUUCCCAGGCUGUGAUGUGCCUGGAAGUCAAACAGGAAGUAAGUCAGUGUCAGAUAAAGAGGCGCCUCAAUAUAUAAUUGUCACACGGAAUAUGUCCCCUAAGCUUGCUUCAUGACCUGUCUUCUUCCUCUCCUCCUCAUCCUCAAGCAAGUAGGAGAAAAAGUUAUCAUUGACCAGAAUGACCAGACUGCUGCAGUGACAACUCUGAGAAGAUUUGGGAAUACAUACCCACUCCCCCUGUCCUGUUCUUUGCCCUCACAAGCAGGUGCUGAGAGGUGGAGACUGGCAUCUUGAACCCCUCCAGCUUUGUUAUGCAGCUCCAGACCAACGGUUAUACCUGGUCUCUAACGAGCUCAUACAGCUCAAGACAGUGAAUAAAGAUAUGCCAAGAGA